CCUACGGGAGGCAGCAGUGGGGAAUAUUGCACAAUGGGGGGAACCCUGAAGCAGUGACGCCGCGUGAGUGAAGAAGUAUUUCGGUCUGUAAAGCUCUAUCAGCAGGGAAGAAAAUGACGGUACCUGACUAAGAAGCCCCGGCUAACUACGGGCCAGCAGCGUCGGUAAUACGUAGGGGGCAAGCGUUAUCCGGAUUUACUGGGUGUAAAGGGGGCGCAGGCGGCUGUGCAAGUCUGGAGUGAAAGGCGGGGGACCAACCCCCGGACUGCUCUGGAAACUGUAAAGCUGGAGUGCAGGAGAGGUAGGCGGAAUGACUAGUGUAGCGGUGAAAUGCGUAGAUAUUAGGCAGAACACCAGUGGCGAAGGCAGCUUACUGGACUGCAACUGACGUUGAGGCUCGAAAGCGUGGGGAGCAAACAGGAUUAGAUACCCUUGUAGUC
rnacentral:rRNA from 1 species